rnacentral:lncRNA from 1 species
GGGGGGGGGGGGGGGGGGGGGGGGGGGGGGGGGGGGGGGGGGGGGGGGGGGGGGGGGGGGGGGCCCGUCCCGGUCCCGUCCCCUCACCCCGUCCCGGUGCCUCCCGGUACCUCCCGGCUCCCCGGUGCGUGCCCCGUGCCUCGUCCCGCUGCUCACCCUCUCUUUAAAAAGAAAGAGAGAAAGAAGAAAGAGAAUAAUUUGGCUUUGUGUUGUUCUAGCUUUAGGAAUCUCUUUAAUAAAUCUGUCAGGACUUUUUUUUUAACAGAUAUCAACUAAAAGCACGAGAAACUGGUGAGAUGGAGCAGCCACUUCCAGGUGCAGGAGUCCCUCCCCUUCCCUCAGGAGCACCUGCAGCAGAGCAGGACACGGGCACAAAGCCAGGGAGAAAAGGACAACCGGGUUCUCACCAUGCAGGGCCGACCUCUGAGCCCCCCAGUGAUCAUGGCAACCAAAGACGGGAAAAGGCGGCUGAGGAACGUGAGAGAAGAAAAACCAAGGGGAAAAAAGCAGAAGAAACAGAACUGGUCAUCUUGGAUCCAGAACAUCCUCUGAUGACCAGAUUCCAGGCUGCCCUGAAGAAUUACCUCACCAAGCAGAUAGAGCAAGUGAACCUAGACCUCCACGAGCUGGUACACAGCCCCUCCCUUGCCCUCCCCGCCGCCCCUCCCGUCCCAGCCGGCGGGACACAGCUCCUUCCCUCCUGUGCGUGCAGAGGGGGGGGGGGGGGGGGGGGGGGGGGGGGGGGGGGGGGGGGGGGGGGGGGGGGGGGGGGGGGGGGGGGGGGGGGGG